rnacentral:rRNA from 1 species
AUUGAACGCUGGCGGCAUGCCUUACACAUGCAAGUCGAACGGCAGCGCGGACUUCGGUCUGGCGGCGAGUGGCGAACGGGUGAGUAAUACAUCGGAACGUACCCUGUUGUGGGGGAUAACUAGUCGAAAGAUUAGCUAAUACCGCAUACGACCUGGGGGUGAAAGUGGGGGACCGGAAACGGCCUCAUGCAGCAGGAGCGGCCGAUGUCUGAUUAGCUAGUUGGUGGGGUAAAGGCCCACCAAGGCGACGAUCAGUAGCUGGUCUGAGAGGACGAUCAGCCACACUGGGACUGAGACACGGCCCAGACUCCUACGGGAGGCAGCAGUGGGGAAUUUUGGACAAUGGGGGCAACCCUGAUCCAGCAAUGCCGCGUGUGUGAAGAAGGCCUUCGGGUUGUAAAGCACUUUUGUCCGGAAAGAAAUCGCGCUGGUUAAUACCUGGCGUGGAUGACGGUACCGGAAGAAUAAGCACCGGCUAACUACGUG